GAUCAACGCUAGCGGGAGGCCUAAUACAUGCAAGUCGAGGGGUAACAUGAUUUGCUUGCAAAUUGAUGACGACCGGCGCACGGGUGCGUAACGCGUAUAUAACUUGCCUCAUACUGGAGAAUAGCCCGGAGAAAUUCGGAUUAAUGCUCCAUAGUAUUAUAAAGUAGCAUUGCUUAAUAAUUAAAGAUUUAUCGGUAUGAGAUAGUUAUGCGUCCCAUUAGCUAGUUGGUGCAGGUAACGCCUCACCAAGGCGACGAUGGGUAGGGGUUCUGUGAGGAAGGUCCCCCACACUGGCACUGAGAUACGGGCCAGACUCCUACGGGAGGCAGCAGUAGGGAAUAUUGGUCAAUGGAGGCAACUCUGAACCAGCCAUGCCGCGUGAACGAAGAAGGCCUUCGGGUCGUAAAGUUCAUUUGUAAG
rnacentral:rRNA from 1 species